rnacentral:rRNA from 1 species
CCUACGGGAGGCAGCAGUGGGGAAUAUUGCGCAAUGGGCGAAAGCCUGACGCAGCGAUGCCGCGUGCGGGAUGAAGGUCUUCGGAUCGUAAACCUCUGUCAGCAGGGAAGAACGGUCACUGUGCUAAUCAGCAGUGAAUUGACGGUACCUGCAAAGGAAGCACCGGCUAACUCCGUGCCAGCAGCCGCGGUAAUACGGAGGGUGCGAGCGUUAAUCGGAAUUACUGGGCGUAAAGCGCUCGUAGGCGGUAUGUCAAGUCAAGGGUGAAAUCCCCGCGCUCAACGUGGGAACCGCGUUUGAAACUGGCAAACUAGAGUGUGUGAGAGGAAAGUGGAAUUCCAGGUGAAGGAGUGAAAUGCGUAGAUAUCUGGAAGAACAUCAGAGGCGAAGGCGACUAACUGGCACAUAACUGACGCUGAGGGGCGAAAGCGUGGGGAGCAAACAGGAUUAGAUACCCGUGUAGUC